UUCCGGAGGACUACCAUCACA
rnacentral:miRNA from 1 species